rnacentral:misc_RNA from 1 species
CCUCGAUUUGUUACAACUACUUUAGAAAUUUAUUUUUUUUCUUUGACCAUUGGUAUUGAAUUGGGUUAAUCGUGAUUACUGUGAGAUAAGUAACCUUCAAUUUAGAUUAUAUACAUAUAUAAACCUUUGUAUGUUCGUCCACGUCUGUCCAAAGUUUAUAUAUAUAUAUAUUUGAAUCCCCUUGUAUACACGCAUUUGAAUCCCUUCAUCCACGCAUUUGAAUCCCCUUGUAUCCACG